rnacentral:rRNA from 1 species
UUAAGUGACUAAGCGUAUACGGUGGAUGCCUAGGCAGUUAGAGGCGAUGAAGGACGUGUAAGUCUGCGAUAAGCGUUGGGAAGCUGACAAAACGCGUUAUACCCAACGAUUUCCGAAUGGGGAAACCCAGAUCUUAGGAUCUAUCUUUAGGUGAAUAAAUAGCCUACUGAAGCAAACGAGGGGAACUGAAACAUCUAAGUACCCUUAGGAAGAGAAAUCAAUUGAGAUUCCCCUAGUAGCGGCGAGCGAACGGGGAACAGCCGAAUUUAUUUGAGUUAGCAGAAUGUGUUGGGAAGCACAACGAUACUGGGUGAUAGUCCCGUAUGCGAAGAUUCAAGUAGGUCAUAUUAAGUAGGUCGGGACACGUGUUAUCCUGAUUGAAGAUGGGGGGACCAUCCUCCAAGGCUAAAUACUCCUAACUGACCGAUAGUGAACCAGUACCGUGAGGGAAAGGCGAAAAGAACCCCUGUGAGGGGAGUGAAAUAGAACCUGAAACCGUAUACGUACAAGCAGUAGGAGCACCUUCGUGGUGUGACUGCGUACCUUUUGUAUAAUGGGUCAGCGACUUAUAUUUAGUAGCAAGGUUAACCGAAUAGGGGAGCCGUAGCGAAAGCGAGUGUUAACUGCGCGUUUAGUUGCUAGGUAUAGACCCGAAACCCGGUGAUCUAGCCAUGGGCAGGUUGAAGGUUGAGUAACAUCAACUGGAGGACCGAACUCACUAAUGUUGAAAAAUUAGGAGAUGACUUGUGGCUGGGGGUGAAAGGCCAAUCAAACCGGGAGAUAGCUGGUUCUCCCCGAAAUCUAUUUAGGUAGAGCCUCGGACGAACACCAUUGGGGGUAGAGCACUGUUAAGGCUAGGGGGUCAUCCCGACUUACCAACCCUUUGCAAACUCCGAAUACCGAUGAGUGCUAUCCGGGAGACACACGGCGGGUGCUAACGUCCGUCGUGAAGAGGGAAACAACCCAGACCGCCAGCUAAGGUCCCCAAAUAUUGCUAAGUGGGAAACGAUGUGGGAAGGCUAAGACAGCUAGGAGGUUGGCUUAGAAGCAGCCAUCCUUUAAAGAAAGCGUAAUAGCUCACUAGUCGAGUCGGCCUGCGCGGAAGAUGUAAACGGGGCUAAGCAAUAUACCGAAGCUGCGGCAGCACAAUUUAUUGUGCUGGGUAGGGGAGCGUUGUGUAAGUGGAUGAAGGUGAGUUGAGAAGCUUGCUGGACAUAUCACAAGUGCGAAUGCUGACAUGAGUAACGAUAAUGGGGGUGAAAAACCCCCACGCCGGAAGACCAAGGUUUCCUGUCCCAUGCUAAUCAGGGCAGGGUAAGUCGGCCCCUAAGGCGAGGCAGAAAUGCGUAGUCGAUGGGAAACAGAUUAAUAUUUCUGUACUUAUAUAGUGAGUGAAGGAGAGACGGAGAAGGCUAGGCAAGCAUGGCGUUGGUUGUCCAUGUGAAAGUGCGUAGGUUGUUGGUUUAGGCAAAUCCGGACCAACCUCUUUAAUGAGAAGACUGAGACACGAGACGAGUGACUAAGGUCGCGAAGUUGUUGAUGCCCUGCUUCCAGGAAAAUCUUCUAAACGUAUUGCUAUAUGAACCGUACCCCAAACCGACACAGGUGGUCAGGUAGAGAAUACUAAGGCGCUUGAGAGAACUCGGGUGAAGGAACUCGGCAAAAUAGUACCGUAACUUCGGGAGAAGGUACGCCCUUGUUUGUGAAUGCACUUGCUGCAUGAGCGACUGAGGGCCGCAGUGACCAGGAGGCUGGGACUGUUUAUUAAAAACACAGCACUGUGCUAAAUCGAAAGAUGACGUAUACGGUGUGACACCUGCCCGGUGCCGGAAGGUUAAUUGAUGGGGUUAUCCUUUUAGGAGAAGCUCUUGAUCGAAGCCCCGGUAAACGGCGGCCGUAACUAUAACGGUCCUAAGGUAGCGAAAUUCCUUGUCGGGUAAGUUCCG